rnacentral:lncRNA from 1 species
CACUUUUUAUGUGUUUGAAGAUCGGAAAAGCAUAUACAUAAGUGGCAUUCACACACUUGUCGUCUCAGAGAUCAUGAAGAAUGACCAGCUUCAGCAGUUCAGCUCAGGUCCGGGGCUGGUCCUCUGGCGUGCUGGACGGCGAGGAGUGGCUACCUGCACAUAACAACACAAUGACUGGCACCGAGCUGAGGGCAUAAAAUCACAUCAUAUCGACUUCAGCAUCUGUCUCCCAGCUUUGGAGACGUCGCCCGACUCCCUGAGUGGCGAGCGCCAGUUUCCGAAAGGAAGUUGAGGAAGGCGACCCGAAAGCACCCGCUGGGCUGCCGACACUCCUGCGCUGCCAGCAGGGCGUGCUGCGCAGUAAAGCCUCGCUGCGUGGUCUGUACGACAUCCGACACCGGCACCCAGACGUGCAGUUUCUGAUGACAUCCCACCUCAGCCAGGGCUGCCCCGAGAAUCUGCUAGUGCUGACUGCCUGCUGCUGAGGCCGACCUGCCGACGACCUGCCGGACCUGUCGCCGCCCUGGUGAGCCUGAGCCGCCCUGGGACCUGCCGCCGUGUCUACGCUGCCGCCCUGGUGAAACUGCCGUCGCCCUGCCGAACCUGUCGCCGCCCUGGUGAGCCUGCGGCCGCCCUGGACCUGCUGCCACCCCGGCGGACCUGCCGCCGCGUCUACGCUUCCGCCCUGGUGAAACUGCCGUCGCCCUGCCGGAUCUGUCGCCGCCCUGGUAAACCUGCUGCCGACCUGUCGCACCUGCCACCGCCCUGGUGAAUCUGCUGCCGACCUGCCUGACCUGUCGCUGCCGUGGUGAACCUGUUACCGACUUGCCGGACCUUUCUCGCCGCCUUGACGAGCUUGGGGAGCCUGUGCUGAGGUGCCACCGCUCUGUUUCACGUGUUAUGUUGCCCGGUUCCUGGCUGUCGCGGAGUCAAUCGGCACAUUGUGUUUGGAGAGGCGACAUCUUGUACAACUUUCCGACAGUUCGGAGCAUUUUAUUGUACCUACUCAAGUCGCAAGAGAUUAGGCUUGUGCCUUAUUUGUCCUCUACCAAUCUGUCCAAUAUGGUUUUUUAUAACUACGAUUUAUGGUAUGACAUAAACCGGUAUAUUGUGUA